rnacentral:lncRNA from 1 species
UUCAGAGUCAUGAUAAUGCAUUCAAAGUUGUGUUGAAAAGCUAAGUUUGGGGUAAAAAACCCCAAAAGCUCUCAAAGCCCAAGAAAGUGCAAAAACAAGAGAAAAAGAAAAAAAUGAUGAAUUGAGAAAAAGAAACAAAAAUAAAAAUUCGACAACUCGAAGAUUCUAAAGAAAGAAGCACGGAAAAGGGCAGUAAGUGAAAAAGAAAUAAGAAAAUAAAAAUGAGGAAAUAAAAGAAACAAACAUAAGAUGUAACAUCGAUUCUGAACCAAAAGCGAUUUGUUUUCCUUUUUU